GUGGUGCAAAUGGCUAACACGCUUGGCUGCUAACCAAAAGGUUGGAGGUUUGAGACCUCCC
rnacentral:tRNA from 1 species